CCGGCAGAAUGCUCCUACCCCACCAUGCCUGGCCCUUUACCUUACCUUAAGAAGAAAUGGGGGGGUAUGAAGCGUGGGAAAGAAUGCAAGAAGUUAUACUAAAGGUAACCUUAAGGAGUGGCGGCAAAGCUCUUGAUUGAUCAACGCGAGUGAACUGUGCUUAGACGCUUCGUAAAACCGCACCGAUCUACGAGAGGAGCUGAUGGAUGAGUAGGCUUCCCCUUUCGAUUUACGGAAUGUGAUCUGGGACACGAUGGGGGUUUGCGUGCCUCGGUAGGAAAGAGAUCACCGGAGUAUAGCACAAGAUCGCAUUUUAUUUCUUGCUGCCACGGGGUCGACCUGUAAACAAGGUAAACCCAAUGGGAACAAAAAACGGGAGGUUACCACAUUGACAUUGGGCAGAAGACGAUCCAAAAAGCGAAGGCUCACCCAGCUGAAGGCGAUCGGCAGUGAGGGAUGCUUACCUUAUUCUUAGAGAAAGGGGAAAGGGGCAACCUAUCUUACUAAUAAUAAGAAAGGGGGUGGCAUCGACUGGGGUUUUACACCCAGUUGGUGUAAGGGAUGAAUCACCCUUUGCGGUCGGAUUGCCAGAAAUGGUGCCGACUGCCCAUGAGGCGAACAAUCGGUAGCGAGAUACAGAUCCGGAGAGAUCUGGGUCUUCUAUCUCAACAUUUGGUUGUUUAACCUCACUCCUUGUUCGCCUCAUGGAGUCCUAUUUCUUUGGUUUGGUUAACUAGGUGCCCCCCCACGACUGAUGCGACAUUCAGUCGUUUAGGCUAGUUUUGGUGUUUAUUAAGAGACACCAGUUUGUCAAAUGAAUCCGGUUGGAUUCGCAAAUGUCUUAUACUUUAGUAUUGACAUUUGAGGGCGGUGAUCUGGAAGCCAUCCCAGUGGAGGUUAGUCCAAUGACUUACUUCUGCAUCAGGUACCCAAACCUGAUAAGGAAAGACAUGAAAAUGAAUUCUUCCAGGUAUUUCUUUGACAAACUGUUGUCUCUUAAGACCAUCAAAUGGCACAAGAUUUUUGAAAAUCUUGGGCUAUUAGUAUCUAUCUAUAAAAAGAUAAGACUAAUAAAUAAUAGCUACCGACGGUCUGACCAAGGAACUCUGUAUAGGAGCAUACCUCGUUGCCAAAAAGGUAAUUCAGUUAAACCGACGAUCUGGCCCUCUUUUUACUGCUUUCUAUCUAAAACAAGCAGCUACUUGCUGUAAGCAAGCGUAUGCAGGGGUCAGUCAGUCGCACAGUUUAUUACCUGUGCCAGUGUCCCUAUCUAAUGAAGCGAGGUCAGGAUACCCUAAGAUUAUACCUUCCUUCCAUCGCAAAAUGAUUCUGAAGAAGGAUCAGAAGGCCGACUUAUGGGUUCAUAUAUAUCUUUAGUCUUUGUCGGGCUAUUCGCCUGGCGAAACGGAUUGACAGAUCGAUAUUGAAAUCGAUAGUCACCCCUUCCACCGGUCUGCCAAGACAGUCUCAAUUAAUAAAGGAGAUUGUCGCUUUAUCUAAAGACCUGAUCCCAAGGUACUUUCCAAGUUUGAUCUCAACUCCCUUGACACAAGGGGUACGUACGUUGGGAGAAAACUUGGAAAGCGAGACCUUCGUGGAGGCCGUAAAGGUGAAAGCGUGGAGGAAUCUUCUACCCUACCAUCUGCGUCAUGAAAUCGUUUGGUUUGUACAUCCAUAGCCAUUUUUUUUACUAUGAUGCAGGCUUUCCUCUAUGGUCGCCCUUUAUCCGAUACCCUUAUGACCAAAAGAAUGAAGAGAGAUCUCCAUGGUCUACAGAGACCGCUGAGAGUACCAUCAACUCUCUUUCGGGUCUAGACACUUCGGUGAGUCUAUUUACUCAGGCUCCCCUGGUAGACUAUCGCAAUCUACCGAGGCUGGCGCUGGUAAGAGACGGAUAUUCGCCAUAGGUCACUUUGUGAAUCAAAGGGUAUUGAAGCCUCUUCAUGAUUUCUUCAUGGACACGCUUCGGUCUAUUCCAAUGGAUGGAACUUUUAAUCAGCUCCGACCGUUCGUUGGAUAGAUAAAAUUUCAGUAAGGUUUCUUCUUUUGACUUGAAGUCUGCCACCGAUAGGUGGCCCCUCAGUCUUCAGACUAACCUUAUUAUAAUUUGGUAAGUCUGUUGGAGAUUGUUUAGAUGCAAUCUUCAGCAGAUCUAUCUUUGAAGUACCCUUUCUUCGCUCAGUUCGAGGUGUCGUAUUCUUUAGAGUAGGACAACCUCUUGGCUUUCUGUCUUCUUGGCCUCUCUUAACUUUAACACAUCACUAAGUGAUGUUUUCUUGUGCAGAGAAGGUGUACCCAGGACAAGCGCUUUACUAGGUAUGGCCAUUCUUGGAGACGAUGUUUGUAUCGCCGACGAGAAUGUGGCCUCUCUUUAUCGCCAGACAGUCAAUGAUCUAGGUCUCGCAAUAAGAAAGGGGGUGAGAUAGGCGAAAGGUAGCUUGCUUCCAAGCCGGCCCGGCCGCGAGGAAUCAAGAGAUCUUUGCCGGUGCUGACUUGGAUCUCGGGUGACGGAAGAAGGCGCCCAGAGGCGACGAGCAGUCGCGGUCGAAGCUUGGCUCUAGGCGAUAGGCUAGCAGUAAGCUUGGCUACAGCGAAGCGCUUACCAAGCGCGAAGGAUUCGUUCCUCUCCCAGCAAGAAAAACGGAUGCAGCCCUUUAUUAGUAAUGGAGGCUUUCUUUUUUUCGUCAAAGAAAAGCCCCCCCUUAAGAAAUAGGAGGCGUGGGGGUUUGUUUACCUUGCUUGCCUUAAUUAUUUAUAUAAUAUAGAAGGGUCGAGCGUCUUCAAACCUUCGCCACUUGAGCCGUAUGCGGGGGAACUCGCACGUGCGGUUCUUAGGGGGGAGAGCUAGUAGGAACCAUCCUAUCCCAAU